UCAUUUUUUGUUGAUAUUUUGAAAAAAUUACUAAGUGCAGGGUAAGCAGAUACUUCUAAAUAGGAAUAUCAAAAAGAAAAUAGGCCUAUGUUUAUUUCUGCUCAGCAAUUUAUUCUAUGAAAGCCCAAGCAUGAUGCUUAUCCUGUUGAUGAUUAGUCUCCUGCGAUAUAAACUGUUAUAAUGAACUGCUCUGCUUUUUUUCACACACCUCCCCCGAAAGGAGAUCGUGAUAUUAAUUGUUAUACAUUGCACACUUUGGCCCAUACUGAUUUAGGCACUGGCAAGCACAUGGUACACGUCAUAUGUUCAUGCUUGACAUUUUAAGAAUAACAAAAUUUCAUUUUGGGAGUGAAUCAGGCUAGUUAGACAUAACAAAACUGCACAGAAUGCCAGAUUCAAUGUAGGGAACAGUGUGGUGCCUCCCACAUUUCCUGCUCUCUUUGCUGCCACAUGCUUGCAGCCUCCAGUGAAAAGAGGUUAUCUUAACAAAAAGUGAAACAUAUCCAAGAUGACCACAUGACCACAAACUGGCAGAAAGGUCUCCUUUGCUGAUACAAUGAGCUGGUUGUAAUGGCAAAAAAGUAAAUACAUUUAGUAGCAGAUAGAGAUGAUGAAUGUCAAGAUAAGAAAUGGUAAUGCUCACAGUCCUCAGUUUACAGAUAUGAAGAAGCAGGCUGGCCAUUGGUCCUUAGAUGGAUGGAUGCUUAAACUAUAUUUCUUCCCAGCCUCCUACCCUGGGAGAGCUGCCCUGCCCUGCCUCUCCCACAGGGUCCUUCACCAGCCAGCCAUCAGCUUCAUUUGCAUACAGUCCCUUCAUUGACCCAGAGUAGAGGACAUCUAAAAAAGAAAAGAAAAGACAAGCAAUGAAGGAAAAGGAAAAGUAACAGAAAAAUAGAAAUGAUAAAUAAGGGGGAAAGAUAAUGAAAGAGAAAUAAAAUAGACAUCCAAUUCUCUCAGUUGUAUAUAUAAAAAUUAUUCAAAAUAUUCAAAUUGUUCACUCCAGCUGUUCCUCCUUCUGCUAGGCAAUAUAUUCCCAGUCUUCAGACCAGGGCAUCUCCAUUCAUUUUUCCUUCCACACAAAAAGUCUAAAGGAAGUUUUCCAUUUUUUAUUAUGGAUAAAUGUCAACAAUAGUCUUUCUCCAGGCCAACAAAGCAAUUUUACUUCCAGUGUUGAGAAGCAAUAAAUCCUUGAUCUUUAUUCCCACGGGAGUCUCUUUGUUGUGGUCAUAUAUGAAAAUUAUUAAUUCAUAGUUAUUUACUUAGUGUAUAUUCAUUAAUUCACACUCAAUCUUCCAAACCUAUUUCGUGUGGGCCAUAGCUUUCCAUCCGUCGAUCGAAAAUUUCUUAGUCUCUCAUUGUGAAGAGCAACCCUUUCAGAGCAUUGGAAGUCCCUGUUAUCUCUGUUCCUCCAGAGGUAAUGUGAUAACCAAGAUUUAUGGCUUGGCUAUCUUUAAUCAGCAAAUAAUGAUCUCUGUUGAUGGAAUGUUGUGAGGAGACGACUAGUCCACCAUGAUUCCUCCCUGGAAGUCCACAAAUACAAACAUCUUGAUGCAAAAUGAGAACCCCCUAUUGAUUCAAAAACAGAGAAACUUUCCUUAAGGGAGAACCCGGGGGACAGGAUAGAGGAGGCCACCAGACCUCUCUCUGGGGGAGCAUAGGUUUGUUCCAUGAGUUAUUCAAUACAGAGUGCCCUAAGUCCAUGUCAUAUUUGAAAUGUAGGCAACGGAGAUUCCGCAUUCAGGGCAUGAAAGUAGAUGUGCAUCAGCUGAGAGGAAAGCAAACGGCUAUUGAUUAUUGCUAUGGGGCAGUGGAUGGAAGCUUCAACCUCCUCAGGACUAAAUAAUGACUGAAUUGAGGUUUGCUUGUGCUAGCAGUUGGCAAAAGGCUUAGGUCUCACAUUAGGUAUUAGCAAAUAGAGUUCUUGCACAGCUCAAUCCCAUGACAGCCAGAAGCCGCUUUUCAGUGAAAGCAGCUAGUCUAUAAAAAGGAUUGCUUCCUCUGUUGUGCUUGCACACUCAUUGCAGAAUAACCUGUAGAGCAAAGGAGCCAAGGCGUUCUGGGGCAUACACAGAGUGGCAACUGAACUGAGCACCUUGGUAACCCUCCCCUCUAAAUUAGUCAUCUAUCAUUCUGCUUUGUCAGCUGAUAUUUGCAUUUUAAUAAAUCUGGAGUUGCAGGCUUUAAUUUUUACACCUGAUUUAUAAAAUGUGAUUUUUCUUUUCUUUUUAAAAUGUUAGUUCUCUGUUGCUGUCCUUCUAGUCAAUACAAGUUGGAUCCAGACUGUUAGUUGUGUUUAGAUCACACUGAAAUCAGUGUGAAAAUAUAGUUAUGAUCAACUUAAGUCUUAUGAUUUUUAUGAACAAAAUGCAGCUAACACCACAAUUCUCUAUACGUAUGUCUGUUCAGAGGUAGUCCAUUGACUUCAAUGGGGUUUGCUGUCAGGUAGGUGAGUAUAGAAUUUCACACUUAGUCAGGAUCCAACUCAACAUGUCUAUUGGCAAAGUAACAUGGCAAGCAGAUUUUGCAGCUUUCCCCAGAAAAAGGUUGUAGAAACUUUAAAACAUCUUUUACACAUAAUUUUUAGACCAUAAUUUUCUUGUGGGAUUAUUUGCUGUCCACGAAGGUCACCUGAUAAAUAUGGAACUUUGCUUUUUAGUAUGUACUGAAUCAGAAUUUGAACAGCUAGCUGGGAGAAACUGCUGCAGCUUUUUCUUCCUGUCUUUCUUCAAAGGGGAUAAAUUCAUUUCUUGAAUAAUUCCGUUUCUUGCCUUGGAUGAAUGGAUUUGACUCCAGAGAUUUUAUAUGUGUUUUCCUUGUCUGACUGAGUGUUCCCUUGUCCUUUCUCCAGCAGCCUUAGGCUGUUGUGUGGUUCACGUUCCCGGAGGAAACUAGUAUGCUGCUGCAGCUCUUUGCCAAAGUUUGCCGCCAUGCCUGAGCUCGUUUUUAACAAAGCUGCCUAUAGUGAUCCCAAACAUGAUUCCUUAAAGGUCACUGAAGUUACACACCCACUUGGGCAACUUUGUAUGCUUGCUUCCCCAAAUCAUUUCUCCAGUUAGUUCUAGAGUACUCAUUCAUAAAAUAUGAAUUCAUUCAUUUGAAAUACGGUCUUGGAUAAACAGGAGAGAUUGCACUGAAAUGCUGCAAAACAGCAAGCUAUAUAAACAAGCUGCUACUACGGCUCAUCAGGAUGCCAGAGGUUGCAGCUUUUCUCUUCAACGUUGCCAUGCCAACAUUUCAGUGCCCUAGCUGAGGUUCCUGUUUAAGCUCCUCUGAGAGAAAGUAGGCAGUAUGGGAGGUUGUUUAGCAUUCAGGAGCAGACCCACAGCAAACUGAACAGUCUGUGAAUAGUCUGAGAAAGAUUCACUCUGUCAGACAAAGAAUAGCAGGCCAUUUUUUCCUUGGUAGUAACUGCACAAGGUUACAUGAAUAUGAUUAAAAGACAAACGAACAAACAAAUGAACAAUAGAUAGAUAGAUAGAUAGAUAGAUAGAUAGAUAGAUAGAUACUAAACUAAGAAACAGAGUCCCCAUUACCAGGGGACUAAGCAUUGCCAGGUAUAACUAAAAAGAAACAUCUCAGGCUGCUCACAUUAAUUCCCAAAAUGAAGGCAGGUUAGAUUACUGCAAUGCAUUAAACGCAGGACUGCCUCUGAAGAUGGUUCAGAAACUUCAGCUGGUGCAGAAUUUGGCAGCCAGGUUGCUCACUGGGGCAAGACAGUAUGAGCAUAUAACACCAAGCCUGGCCCAACUGCACGGGCUACCAAAGUGGUUUCCGGGCCUAAUUCAAAGUGCUGGUUUUCAUCUAUAAAGCCUUAGGUGGCUCAGAAACACAGUACCUCAAGGACCGCAUCUCCCCAUAUAAACUGAUCUGAACCCUUUGAUUAUUAUUAUUAAUUAUUUCAUUUCUAUACCGCUUUAUAUUUUUAAGAAAAAUCUCAAAGCGGUGAUCAUCACAUGAGGCCUUUCUUCAUGUGCCAGAUCUCCGCAAGUGGUCUGGAGGGAGGCAACACGAGAACAGGACUUUUCUGCAGUGACUCCCCCCUUGUGGAAUGCUCUCCCCAGGGAGGCUCAACUGGGACCUUCAUUACAUAUCUUUAGGUGACAGAUGAAAUUUUUUCUCUUCAACCUGGCCUUGCUCUGAUUGAACAUUCUACAGCCUUUUAAAUGUGUUUGUGAGUGACAGGUUUUUCGUUUCCUUUUGUAUUUGUAUUUGUUUAUAUUAUGUAUUUUGUGCUUUUAUUUGUGCAGUAUUUUGAUGCUGUGAACAACCUUGAGAUCUUUUCGAUGAAGGGUGGUAAUAUAUAUAUUUAUGCAUGCGCAAGCAAGCAAGCAAGCACACACACACACACACACACACACACACAGCUGCCUGGCUGAAUAGCAAGUUUGGAAUGAAUUUCCAAACAGAAGCACUCCACCACUGUUAAUUUUACAGUGACCUCUGAAACUGGCAGUGGCUCUCUCAAGGUUUUAGAGUCUCCUCUCUGGACUAGAAUUAGACUAGGAUUGACCCUUCUGCACUCCAAGCAGCUGCCCUGGCACUGCGCUACAGUUUGCAUCUAGGUCUUUUGAGAGAGACAAUGUUUUUUUAUAGCCUCAGCCAUUGUCCAGAACAGCAACCACAAGAGUAACACAAACUCACAAACUCUCUUCCUCCCUACAAGAACAGAGUCAAGCUGACUUCCACAGGAUGUCUGGCUAAUACAAAAAGCUCUUUGUAAACUUUGACUUACUUUCAAGAAGCAUUGUCUUAAAAGUACCUGCCUUCUGGACAAAAUAGAGUCAAAGUUAUAUUUCCUCCUUCUUUAUUUAGACCCAGACUUUUCCUCCAGAUUCAAAAGUAAGAGCUGUUUGACAGUAGAAUGGACUCCCUCAGAACAUUGUGAGUUCUCUUUCAUUGGAGGUUUUUAAGCAGAGGUUGGCUGGCUAUCUGUCAUGGAUGCUUUAGUUGAGAUUCCUGCAUCGCAGGGAGUUGGACUAGAUGACCCUCAGCAUCCCUUCUAACUCUAGAAUUCUGUGAUUCUAUGAUUUUCCUAUGGACAAGUUAUCAAUAUUGAGCCUCCCUUCACUGUCCACAUUAAACAAACAUUGAAAGGUUAAAUCCACAUUUUUGUAUCUGGGAUAUCUUCAUUGGGUGUAAUAUCUGUAGGAAAAUGGGUGGUUUAAUAAAAUAAUUUUCUACUCUAGAUUAUUGCACUUAUGCUUAAGAGCAAUUGGAAAGAAAUUAAAUCAUUGUUUCUUUUCCAUCUGAUUACCCAGACUCUUGAAGAGCCAUAUUUUAAUGGUGUAUUUGCUUUAUAAUUAAACAGAAAGAAACUGCAAAUAAUUUUUGGUUGAUUUACAUACACUCUGCAUAUAAAAUUUCAUAGGUCAAAACAAUGUUAGCAUUCCUUUUCCUAUUCCAGAAAUUGUAUGUGGUCAGUUAGUUAAUUUGUUUUCUGCUGUGUAAUCAGUUUCAGAGACAGAGUAGAAAGCAUGCAUGAUGUAUCAGAACUUUGCCAGGAUAUUUUGGAAAACCAGGAGAAUUGCUUUCAUUUGGGGGUGAAAAGAAACUGAUACAUUUAUUUGCAAAAUAAAUUAAGAAUCAGUAGAUCUAUGUUAGUUCUGUCUUUCUGUGGAUAGAGAGAGAAGAAAAGCCUCCAUAAUCACCACUGGGUCAGCUGCAGCAAACUGUCCUUUGGCUCCUGGUUUCUCCUUUCCCAUAAUAGUCUCUUCAGUAGCCCUUAUGGCCACUAUAAAAUCUAUCAUAGAUCUUAACCUCUGUCUAAGCAUUUAGAAAAGUUUAUAAUUCAAAUAAUAAUAGCAACAACAACAAUAUAUAGUUCCAUACUAUUAUUUUGCUAUAUAUUAUGUUUGUGACCAACCAAGAGAACUGUGUUAUUGGAAAACCUAUAUAAAUGACAUUUAUUUAUUUAUUUAAUCAUAUCUGUUAGUUGCUUUUUGCCUAAAAAGUCAAACUCAAAGCAACUUAC